GAUGAACGCUAGCGGGAGGCCUAACACAUGCAAGCUGAGCGGUAGAGUUUCUUCGGAGACUUGAGAGCGGCGUACGGGUGCGGAACACGUGUGCAACCUGCCUUUAUCAGGGGGAUAGCCUUUCGAAAGGAAGAUUAAUACCCCAUAAUAUAUAGAGUGGCAUCACUUUAUAUUGAAAACUGAGGUGGAUAAAGAUGGGCACGCGCAAGAUUAGAUAGUUGGUGAGGUAACGGCUCACCAAGUCGAUGAUCUUAGGGGGCCUGAGAGGGUGAUCCCCCACACUGGUACUGAGACACGGACCAGACUCCUACGGGAGGCAGCAGUGAGGAAUAUUGGACAAUGGGUUAGCGCCUGAUCCAGCCAUCCCGCGUGAA
rnacentral:rRNA from 1 species